UACGUAGGGAGCAAGCGUUGUCCGGAAUCAUUGGGCGUAAAGCGCGCGUAGGUGGCCCCAUAAGUCCGCUGUGAAAGUCAAAGGCUCAACCUUUGAAAGCCGGUGGAUACUGUGGGACUAGAGUACGGAAGAGGCGAGUGGAAUUCCUGGUGUAGCGGUGGAAUGCGUAGAUAUCAGGAGGAACACCGAUGGCGAAGGCAGCUCUCUGGCCUAUAACUGACGCUGAGGUGCGAAAGCGUGGGGAGCAAACGGG
rnacentral:rRNA from 1 species